GUCAAUUUGCGAUGAAGAUUGGUAGAGCCUAAUUUAUCAAUCAUUCCAAUAUGCACAUGGCAUCGGUAGGACCAACCUAAAACACCCCCCACAACCGCCUCCCUCUCUGUUAAGAGGCCUAUGAGAAGAGAUUACUCAAGCUUCUUCUUUCCACUCCAACAUAGGCAAGAAUUCAACCUAUCUCAAACUACACACUAAGGAAAAAUGUCCCAUUUCCAUCAAUCCAAAACCCCAAGCCACCACUCUCC
rnacentral:misc_RNA from 1 species